GCUGUUGCUGCCGAGGCUGCCACAGCCGCUACUGCUGCCGGCAGAGCUGCUGGGAGUGAGCAUCCCCCGUCUGGGAUAACCAGCUCCGCGGCAUCUCCUGCGUGCCCUGGCUCCACAGGGACCUGCCAGCCCUAGGGAACAAAAGCGGAGCCCCUUCUCGCCCUCUCCUGCAGCCAGAGGAUGAGUCGAGAGGGCUGAGCGGAGAGUGUGGUUCUUGGCGACUGGGCGGCGGAGAAGGGCCUGCAACAGAGAUCUUAGAUUGUUUAGAAGCCUCCCCCACAGCUAAGGCAGGGCACACAGAGCCCCUUCUGGCCACCACUGGCUGUCUGGGUAUCCGAGCAAGGAUCCCCAGGAGGAGGUGGGUCCAUCAACCUACUCAACAUUAUGUAGAUAUAAAGUGAACGUGUUGCAGUGAAAGUCAAAUGUAUCCCCAAAUACCACUCCACUUCACUACCUGCCAAGGCCAACUUGCUCUGUCCUUGGCAUCUCCCAUGACGGUUCCUGACGUGUGGUCCUGGUAGUCUUGGGAAAACAUCAGCCAAUUGCUUCCGUCCAGAUCUCAGGCCUCCCUUUCCCCAGCAUCACCCCCACCCAGCCUGGACACCUUGACGGAACACUUGGAAAGAUGGAAAACUCCAGAUGUUCAUUUCAGUUUUGGUCCUUGUAAUAGGAUACUUGGUUUAGAGCCAUGGUCUCUCACCAUGACCUCCAGAUGAUUAUCUGGCUCUACCCAUUCCUCAAGCUAAAAUCCACUUAAUUAGCAUUCAGCAGGACAUGGUGGGGAGCCCUGACUCCAUGUCUUCAUGACUGAGGAACUCUUGCACAACACAAAGGGAUAAUGUUGAAUGAAUCACAGACUGGUGGAUGGAUGUCCCUUCCUAACACUUUUAAUUAGCAGCGCUGCCUAUUAGGAUGAACAGAGUGCUGUGUUCCUGCCAUAGAUUACCCCCAACCCCCCUUAAAUGGAAUAGAAAUCUUAUUCUCCACAAGACCUGAAAGACUGCCGGCCUGUCCUCAUUAGCCAGACAUGUAGUGACCUAGGAUCUGACCUGUCCUGAGAAGGCUCUGAAGGCAUCGGCCCAGGGACCCAAGUCUGAAUAAUCGCUAAAACCACUAUCCCCAUUCCUUGGUGUUCUUUGGAGCUUUUUGUCCACUUGCCUUUUUUUUUUUUUUUUUUUUUUUUUUUUUUCCCACUGUACAGCAAGGGGGUCAGGUUAUCCUUACGUGUAUACAUUGCAAUUACAGUUUUUUCCCCCACCCUUUCUUCUGUUGCAACAUGAGUAUCUAGACAUAGUUCUCAAUGCUAUUCAGCAGGAUCUCCUUGUAAAUCUAUUCUAAGUUGUGUCUGAUAAGCCCAAGCUCCCGAUCCCUCCCCCUCCCUCCCCCCCCCAUCAGGCAGCCACAAGUCUCUUCUCCAAGUCCAUGAUUUUCUUUUCUGAGGAGAUGUUCAUUUGUGCUGGAUAUUAGAUUCCAGUUAUAAGUGAUAUCAUAUGGUAUUUGCCUUUGCCUUUUAAAAUUGCUUGAAAGUCCUCAAUUGGCAUAUCGGAGCUGUCAGCUAUUUAUUUAUUGUGUUGAUUAGCUGUGUCUACCUUUAUUCAUUUGUAGUCAUUUACAGCCAUCUUAGGUGAUAAAUCAUACCUUCCCAGGUGGAAUAGCUUUAAGGCAGGAAACGCUUUUUCUUAUGAUCUUCCUCCCGUUUUCUCCUUUCUUGAAUGUAUCCCUUGGGUGCCUCGUUUAUGCCCCCUUUUUGUCGUCUUUAUUUUCUUGGAUUUUCUCUAUUUAUUUAUUUCUCUAUAUCUGUUUCUACCUCCCACUUUCCCUCAUUCUUCUGAAAGAAUCAUACUUGAAAGUAGGAGAUUCUAGAUACUAGGGGCUUAACUGUAGGAACUUUGAGAGCGUUCUUAACUGUGUGGUAAUUUCCCUUAUCUGCGAGUUUUGGUGGUGGUGAUCGUGUUGCUUCCAGGGCUGAAUGUGUUGGGUUUGCAUCUCUGCUCCAAAACACAACAGCUCCCUGAUGUUGAGCAAAUCAAUCUCCUUAAGUUUCAGUGUUUACAUCAGAAAAAUUAAGGCAAUAAUAAUACGUUCCUUACAGAACAGUUGUAAGAAUUUAAUGAGAGGGUGCAUGUGAAAGGGUGUCUGGCAUAGCAUAUAUUCUCAAUGAAUAGUGUUAGCUAUUAUUAUUGCUUAUAAAAAUAAACACACUAUCAACUAUUGUAAAUCCUUAAAACGCAAAAGGCAGAUGUGUUGGUCUUUGGCAACAGGAGAGGAAAAAGCUGGGAAGACUCUUCCUACUCUUUGGCUGAUAGAAGUGUAAAUCCUUAGGGACAGAGGCACUGAAAGCAGAUAAACCUGUCGGGUGCAUGGGGAGCUCCCCCGUGUCUGGAGAGUGGCCUGGAUGCUGAACAGUUAGAAGCCCUGGCAGGUUCCUGGAACUUCUUCUGGACCUCUGGGGAGCAUCUAAGUCAACCCUCCCCUAGACAUGGUAUCCCUUCCCAGAUAGUAUGGUGGCUCGGUGGCUCGGUGGCUCGUCAUGUGUCAACUUGGCCCAAUUGAAUUACAUUCCUUAGAAUUCAGUUUACUGUAUGUUUCCACUUAGGAUGGACCACAGGGGAGAUGUCUGGGAGAUCUGGAGGAUGCAAGGGAUACAGCAGCCACUUGGCAGCGCACAUAUUGUUGCUGACCUGCUGACUCACCUGGUCAGCAUGAAGCAGCAUCCAGGACUACAACUGCUCUCCCUUUCCCCGCCUCCUCCUCCAGCUUUUCCAGCUCCUCAUUCAGAUGCGUGUGUUCAGCUCCUUGAUAAAUGGCUCGGGCUCCAGUAGGUCACCACAUCCACAAGCUGGGAAACAGGGAAAACCAAGGUUCCAGUUAGUUCUCAUGGAGUUUUCAGCUCAUGCCCAUGGGUUCCAGACUGCUUCUGACUUUCCUCCUUAUAUCCAUCUUUCUUUCCUCACUGCCUGCCCAGAGUAUUUCAAGCUCCAGCAUCACAUGUGACACGACAGAUUUAUAGACUGCUUAACCAGUUCCCACAAUUGCAUAAGGCCAAAUCCAUGUAUUAAAUAAAUAAUACAUAUAUAUUUAUUAAAUAUAUAAAAAUAUGUAAAAUGUGCAUAUAUCUAACAUAUAAUGUAUUCAUUUAUUGUUUAGAAAACAGAACCAGCCACUAGGAGAUUAUAUGUGUGCAUGUAUGUGUGUAUACAUACAUGUAUACAUAUACACACACAUGUAUAUAUGUACACACCCACACUCACACACACACAUAAAUCUACUCGUGUUGACCCUGACUGAUACAGAGAGUCAUAUGCUUUUAAUAAUGGGUAAUUCUCCACUUUAUAAGGCAGCCCAUUUCUUUUCUAUCUCCCCUCUACCAUUCCCCUUUCUGCAAUGUAGCAAAAAAGCAAUUAAACUCACGGUCCAAUAGCAUAGCUUUUCCAGUUCAGGGCAUACCCCACUUUCUCCUGAAGACUUCUCUCCCUCUCAACCCUAAACCCUCUCACAAUUUCUCACUGCCAUGACCUCACCCAUUAAAGUUUUUCUCUCUGGUUUCUCACCCUUUUGAGCUUCAGAAUUCAACUCUUAAUGAAAUUAACCCCAUAAGUACAAAUACACUGGAGAGGCCCCUCGAGCCUUUCCACAUUCCCAGACUUAUCUCCUCAUCCUCCUCCCAUGCCUUUUUUUUUUUCAUAGUUAUUUCCCCAAUACAAUUUUUUUUCUACUGUACACCAUAGUGACCCAGUUACACAUACAUGUACACAUUCUAUUUUUGCACAUUAUCAUGCUCCAUCAUAAAUUGAAGAGUAUGCUUCGAUUCCAAGGGCUUCCAAGGCACAGUGUGAUAAAGUGGGAAGAGAGGGAUGCAUAGAAUCUAAAAGCAGACACCUGUGCUUGUGUCCUGACACCAUAGCAUUAAUUGCUUCUCUUUGACAGCUUCUGAGGGCCUCAGUUUCCUCAGCUGUAAAAUGGGUGUACUAAUAGCCAACCAGCUUAUGUCCAGGCCCUCUGAGUCCAAGAACACCUGAGCAGCUCUAGAUGUUUGAGGCCCCUUGUACUUGUACAUCUCUCCAGUCUCAGAUUAGCUCACACCUGGAUGGGAAGAUGCCAAUAUGAUCAAAUGUUGGACUUCAGCAUUUGUGCUAGAGUAGAAAAUCAGACACUCUUAUUUUUCAAUAAAAGGUAAUAUCU
rnacentral:lncRNA from 1 species